GGUUCCGUAAUGUAAUGUUGAGCAUUUUGGACUCUGAAUCCAGCAAUCCGAGUUCGAAUCUCGGUAGAAUCU
rnacentral:tRNA from 1 species